ensembl:lncRNA
GGCGACCGCCUCCAACGAAGGCGGUCGCUUCUCUCUCUGCUCCCUCCCGGCCCUUAUCUCUCCUUCCUCUGCUCUUUGUCUCUGUCCUGUGCUGUCUCUUCUAAAUCUGUCGAAAGCCUCUCUCUGCAUUUCUAUCUGAAACCUAAAUUAUGGUUCUGUUUGGCUGGUCUGUCAACGCUAUUGAUCAAAUUUUCUCGACGAGAAAAAUGGGGAAAGGAGAGCCCACCUGCCCUGACGGAACGUUUCCAGCGGGGUACGUGAUGGACUCCUGGAAGGAGUGGAGGCCUUUGUGUCUCGCCAUACUUUCCGUCGAGGAUGUUGAAGACGUCUACAUAAUUGGGAUCAUGAUAACAGGAUUCCUGCUGUUUGGAUUUUGCGGGCUCCUGUUCUAUCGCAAAGCUAGGGUGGCGAUGGCAGCAUGUUCGGCUAUUGAGAAGCUGCCCGUCAUUGAUGGAUUGUGCCGGGCUGCGGACACACAGACUCAUUUGAUGUGCGAACUAAAUCGCAAUCUGGAUACCAUUCUGGUGAAGUUGGAUCGGGCUUAAACGGGCCACCGAAAUUCGGCGAAUUCGGCUUUUUUGGAAUCUGGAAUUUGGAAUAUUGGAGAGAGUAUCAGAGAGACUUUUGCAGAGUCGGCCUGACCCAAAGCAAUCGUUAUCUUCAUUCGGCUCCCCCACUUCGGCCUUGGAAGGCUGAUAUCUCUCCACUCCACUUGUUGUUAUGCAGACAGAUGCCCUCCCCCCCUACUAUCCUCUUCCUCCCGUGAACUUUGUCUCUGGAUCAGAACUCUUCGUGGUCGUCUCCACGGCAACGGUCGUGUCCUCGUCACCAGCAUCAGACGGGAGAGACACUGUUGAGUCUGAUCGGAGAUGGGUCCUUGGGCUCACACACACACACACACACACACACACACACACACACACUCCCUGGACUCACCGCCUUCUGGACUCCUCCCCCUCUCCGUCCCUCGUCACAGUACAGUAUGCCGUGAGUGAUGCGACGCGCCCGCUGGCUGCGUCCUCCUCCCGGGGUCUGAGCUGGGACACCCCCCCUCCCCGACUCCCUUCCCCCCUCUCACAUGUGUUUGGGAUGUUUUUGACAUGUUGCUUAUGUGCUGAGGUGUUUUUUUCUAAUCCCUACACUCUGCCCCCCUUAGAGGAGCAUAGUUUGGGAAUUACCUUUUCUUCCCCUCGUGUACCCUCUUGUUUACCUUUUUCUUAUCCAACGAGGGGCGCAUGCGCCCGACCGGCUCUCCGUCCUGUCUCCCCACACUGUCUUGUAUGUUUCUUGGAUGAGAUGUAACUGGUAAUAAUUUCACUGCUCUGGCAAUGACAAUAAAGUAUUCAUUCAUUCAUUCAUUCAAAUACUGCUGGCCCAUUUCUAGGUGAACUAAAUAUGCGAGAGUAGUCCUACACAGUCGUUCACACAGGGUGUUUAUGCUUUGCUGGACAGGACCGCUUGUUAAGACAGAAGAAUGACAAAUUCUCCACAUACUGUCCCUAAUGCUAAUUUAAGCUGAGAUAUGACUUGGCUUCUCAUGGGUGUUUCAAAUAAUACAAUCAAGCAGGGAGUGAGUUUCAGACAAUGACAGUUCAGUUCAGUUCAGUUCAGUUCAGUUCAGUGAGUGAGUGAGUGAGUGAGUGAGUGAGUGAGUGAGUGAGUGAGAGCAGCGAACCAGCAGCCAAAUGCAAAUGCCAUACCAAGUCAAAACAAAUCAAAUCAUAUCAAAUAGGACACUGCACUUUGAGGAUAAAUGGCUGAAAGAGUAUAAUUGACUCCAUUGAAGCCCACCAUAAAGGGGGCCUUCUGCUUCUAUUGGGCAAAAAAACAUUGCAACAAAUAAUUUAACUUCUGUCAAAUAUGAUCUUGUUGUACAAAACACAGGUCAGAAAUGACAGAACAAGGCAAAAGAAAAUGAAUAUGUAUCAUCCCAAAUGUUUUGCUACUGUGUUUUGCGACUCCAGAGUUAGUGAACACGAGCCAUGUGUCUUGGCUUUAGUUCUCCCCCUCAACGACUAGCUUGGCAUACGCAUUACAUUUGUUGCGGUUCCUCUACAAUCCCUCGACGUAGCGAGUAUGUCAUAUAUAUCUUUUUCUGUUUCAGCAACAUACUUACGCAAAUAAAGUGUUAAGAUACAAUGUGUAAAUUCUAUCUUGCAUGUAUUGAUUAACGAGUCCAGUGAAACGUUUGACCUUCCCACAUAACACCGCUACCCAGGACUGGAAGACAAGCACUUUAACAUCUAGGCCAAGGGGUUGUGUGGACAUACACAACCCCUUGUUUGUAACCAGACCGAGUGAGGUCAAAGCCCUCUUUACAACAUCCCACUGGGACUGUGGGAAGGCAAGCAUCCAUAUUUUCAGAGCCCAAGGUCUAAAGUAUUUAAAUACUAAGGCGGUGGUGAGUCAUGAAGCUAAAGUAUGCUAGGUGGGGUAAGUGAAACCAGGGUGGAGCUGAGAGCCGGAGGAAUGCUUUGAAUCAGAGAAACCUGUCAAUCAAGUCCCAGAAUGUGGGUCCGGG